rnacentral:rRNA from 1 species
AUUGAACGCUGGCGGCGUGCCUAAUACAUGCAAGUCGAACGCAGUGGGGAUGGGUGAGUAACACGUGGGUAACCUCCCAUCAGAGGGGAUAACACUUGGAAACAGGUGCUAAACCGAUACUGAUGGAUGGACCCGCGGUGGAUUAGCUAGUUGGUGGGGUAACUGCUUAACAAGGCCACGAUGCAUAGCCGACCUGAGAGGGUGAGCAGCAACACUGGGACUGAGACACGGCCCAGACUCCUACGGGAGGCAGCAGGAGGGAAUCUUCGGCAAUGGACGAAAGUCUGACGGAGCAACGCCGCGUGAGUGAAGAAGGUUUUCGGAUCGUAAAACUCUGUUGUUAGAGAAGCGGUAUCUAACCAGAAAGCCACGGCUAACUACGUGCCAGCAGCCGCGGUAAUAC